CAAUGCCUUUGUUUGACCAUGUUGUGUGCUAAUAUGACAAAUUAAAAAUUUUAGUUAAGCAUUUGGGCUGGCCUUAAUAUUUAACAAAAAGCUAAUUUUUUUUGUGGGCCCACUUUCGAUAGUUAGUCACUAGCGGAAGCUCAGGAAGAGCAGCUUUGGUCUCUCAGCACUUUAAUCCUGCUUCUCGUUCCCACUUAAUUUCGCAGUUUAUUGUCCUUGACUUCUACCACGAGAAAAAAAAUUAGGAAAAUACAACACUGCCCGUGCAGAGUUUUCUGAGCGGAAUGAAAAAAUUAAAUUAAUGUCCAAGUUAUGAGUAAUUACUUCGUUGUAGGGAGGGAGCAGAGCCAAAGGAAAUUUUUAAAAUUGUUAAAUAUAUAAAGGAAGAACCAUUCCUGAUUACUUUACUUUUUCGAUUCUUGUCAGUUAUCUUAGUAAAAUACAAAACUCUAUAAAGAACCACAGGAAAAUCAGCAGCAAUGACAAGCAUUGACAUUAACAACUUACAAAAUACCUUUCAACAAGCUAUGAAUAUGAGCGGCUCUGCAGGCGCUGU
rnacentral:sRNA from 23 species